rfam:Glycine max cultivar Williams 82 chromosome 6, whole genome shotgun sequence.
UUCUUAUUGGAUGAUGACUGUCACGUGUCAUGUUUUGAUAGGAUGUCAAUUCCAUGCAAGAUGAAAUGCAUUGUUGUUUUCAUUGAUCAAUCAGAACAUGACGUGACAGUCAUCAUCC